rnacentral:rRNA from 1 species
CUGAUGCAGCACGCCGCGUGCGGGAUGACGGCCUUCGGGUUGUAAACCGCUUUCGCCUGUGACGAAGCGUGAGUGACGGUAAUGGGUAAAGAAGCACCGGCUAACUACGUGCCAGCAGCCGCGGUGAUACGUAGGGUGCGAGCGUUGUCCGGAUUUAUUGGGCGUAAAGGGCUCGUAGGUGGUUGAUCGCGUCGGAAGUGUAAUCUUGGGGCUUAACCCUGAGCGUGCUUUCGAUACGGGUUGACUUGAGGAAGGUAGGGGAGAAUGGAAUUCCUGGUGGAGCGGUGGAAUGCGCAGAUAUCAGGAGGAACACCAGUGGCGAAGGCGGUUCUCUGGGCCUUUCCUGACGCUGAGGAGCGAAAGCGUGGGGAGCGAACAGGCUUAGAUACCCUGGUAGUCCACGCUGCAAACGGUGGGUACUAGGUGUGGGGUCCAUUCCACGGGUUCCGUGCCGUAGCUAACGCUUUAAGUACCCCGCCUGGGGAGUACGGCCGCAAGGCUAAAACUCAAAGG